rnacentral:rRNA from 1 species
AACGAACGCUGGCGGCACGCCUAACACAUGCAAGUCGAACGGAGGCUUCGGCCUUAGUGGCGCACGGGUGCGUAACGCGUGGGAACCUGCCCUUUGGUUCGGAAUAACCAGGAGAAAUUCUGGCUAAUACCGGAUGAUGUCGAAAGACCAAAGAUUAUCGCCAUAGGAUGGGCCCGCGUAGGAUUAGCUAGUUGGUGAGGUAAAGGCUCACCAAGGCGACGAUCCUUAGCUGGUCUGAGAGGAUGAUCAGCCACACUGGGACUGAGACACGGCCCAGACUCCUACGGGAGGCAGCAGUGGGGAAUAUUGGACAAUGGGCGAAAGCCUGAUCCAGCAAUGCCGCGUGAGUGAUGAAGGCCUUAGGGUUGUAAAGCUCUUUUACCCGGGAUGAUAAUGACAGUACCGGGAGAAUAAGCCCCGGCUAACUCCGUGCCAGCCGCCGCGGUAA